AGCGAACGCUGGCGGCAGGCCUAACACAUGCAAGUCGAACGAAGUCUUCGGACUUAGUGGCGGACGGGUGAGUAACACGUGGGAACGUACCUUUUGGUUCGGAACAACUCAGGGAAACUUGAGCUAAUACCGGAUGAGCCCUUCGGGGGAAAGAUUUAUCGCCAUUAGAGCGGCCCGCGUUAGAUUAGCUAGUUGGUGAGGUAAAGGCUCACCAAGGCUACGAUCUAUAGCUGGUCUGAGAGGAUGAUCAGCCACACUGGGACUGAGACACGGCCCAGACUCCUACGGGAGGCAGCAGUGGGGAAUCUUGCGCAAUGGGCGAAAGCCUGACGCAGCCAUGCCGCGUGAAUGAUGAAGGUCUUAGGAUUGUAAAAUUCUUUUACCAGGGACGAUAAUGACGGUACCUGGAGAAAAAGCCCCGGCUAACUUCGUGCCAGCCGCCGCGGUAA
rnacentral:rRNA from 1 species